ACUUACAGGCCAUACCACUCUGAAAACGCCUGAUCUCGUCUGAUCUCGGAAUGCGAAGCAGAGUCGGGCCUGGUUAGUACUUGGAUGGGAGACCGCCUGGGAAUACCAGGUGCUGUAAGCC